UACGAAGGGGGCUAGCGUUGCUCGGAAUCACUGGGCGUAAAGCGCACGUAGGCGGCUUGUUAAGUCAGGGGUGAAAUCCCGGGGCUCAACCCCGGAAUUGCCUUUGAAACUGCAUUGCUAGAGUGUCGGAGGGGAUAGCGGAAUUCCUAAUGUAGAGGUGAAAUUCGUAGAUAUUAGGAGGAACACCGGUGGCGAAGGCGGCUAUCUGGACGACAACUGACGCUGAGGCGCGAAAGCACGGGGAUCAAACAGG
rnacentral:rRNA from 1 species